rnacentral:lncRNA from 1 species
AAAGGUUUAGUUCCUGAUGCUGUUACUUAUCAUACUCUUAUAAAGGCUAUGUUUCAAGCAGGGAGGCCCCAAACUGCAAAAGAGCUCUUUAAGGAUAUGUGCUCUCAUGGUCAACAGCCAAAUAUAGUAACCUUCUCAAUUAUGAUUGAUGGCUUGUGUAGUCAGGGGAAUCUCGAUGAGGCACUCACCCUAUUGAAAGCAAUGGAGAAAAGUCAGUUGAAGGCUAAUUUUGUGAUCUAUAGCAGUCUGAUCAAUGGUAUGUGCAAAGUUGGGAAGAUUAAUGAUGCCAAGGAACUUUUUUCUAGUCUUUUUGAAAUUGGUUCACAACCUGAUGUUUAUGUAUAUAAUGCAAUUAUGAAAGGACUCUGCUGAGAAGGAUUAAUAGAUGAAGCAUAUAAGAUUUUUAGAGACAUGGAAAAGGGAGGAUGUUUACCGAAUAAUUGUUGUUAUAAUAUCAUCAUUCAAGGGUUUCUCAAGCAUGAGGAUUUACCAAAAGCAUCAGAACUAAUCAAUGAAAUGGUUGAUAAGGGGUUCUCUGCUGAUGCUGCUACCACAGAAUUGGUAGUACAUUUAUCGCGGAAUAAUGAACUCAUUCUAAGCAAACUACGUAAUUGUUAUGAGGCACUAAAUGCAUAAAUGUUAAGUGAUUUUAACAAUCAACACUUGAUCAGCAGAUGCAAGAGGUCUUCGUUGUAAUGUGAGUUAUUGGUACUUCAAUCUAUUUCCUAUAGUGUUGUUAGUUGCUUUUGCUUUUUACGAGAAACUGUUUAGGAUUAGCACUAAACUCAAGUUUUCAGGUUGUAUAAGCAGAUUAGCUUUGCUGAAUCUGUUCCAAUACUGCAUUGGUCUGCAAUAAGUUGAAAAAAAAACAAAAAAAGAAUCUUAAGACUCCAGUUUUAUGUAUACAAUGAGAGAAAUUGUGCCUGCUCUCUUCUUACGUAUUCCUUUUUUUUCCUCUCAUUUUGAAUUCAUCAUUCUGGUAUAACAAUCUGCACUUGUACAUAGUUUUUCUAAGUGUCAGAUGAUUUAUUGCCAUGUAUGGAAAAUAUCAAAAGGUGAAGAGCAGCAAUUACUUUUCUUAUUUUUGAGUCUUACUCAACCUGAAAGCUUUUGUUUUGCCUUAUUAUUAUACUAUAUGAAGUGAAUUGAGCAGAGAACAUAUUUGCUUCUAAUUCUACUCCCAUGCAAAUGGAUCUAAAAUGCGUCAUUUUGCUACCAUUAUUCAAAGAGGAAGCUAAGACCCAAGUGUUGUAUGUCCUCUUAGCAUAAGUGGAUAGUAUUUUCCAAGAGAAAAAGCAAAAUUAGGAAAGGCCCUUCAAAGGUUAAACUGAAAUUUGACAACAGAAAUGAGGACUUAGAACAAGAAAGUGAAGAAGGGGAAGCUAAGGCAUGUUUCCAUAGUUAGUUCAACACCAAAUAACGCUUUAUUAUUGAGGAGAAUGAGAUCUGCAAUGUACAACUCUUCUUAUUUAGCUAAUAGAGUUUGGGUUUUCACCUUUGAAAAGUGAAGUAAUAUAGCAAAAUCAAAAGUGCAGAGCAAGAGAACAGAAAAAAAGGACAAUCUCACAUCAGAAAGAGAAUUUAUUUAUAGAGGAUCUGGUCAAGAAUGAAUAUUAGAUCCAAAAACUAAGGAAAAAUCAGUAGAUGAAAUGAACAAUAGGCUUUACAGGAGAGGAGUGAUUGUAUGAAUUAACUGAAGUGAACAGUUCUCCAUGUUUGUGGGUUUUGAAUGAAAGGUGGAGUUGGAAGAGAGGAGGGUUAUGAGAGGUGAGUAGUAGGAGUUGCGAGUCCAUUAGCGUGAAAGAAAAGAGAAAAAGAGAAGAAUGAGAUAUUGUAUAAGAUUUUUUUGUUAGUAGUGGAAGACACGUCAGCAAAUUAACUAGUAAAAAUAAUGGUUUAAUAGAAUAUGUAAUUAGAAACCAAUAUUUAUAGUUUUCGAUUUAUGAUUUUUUUGAUUUCAAAAAUAUUUUUCAAUAAGUAGUAAAAAGUAAAAAAUGCAACCCUAUUAAGUAAACAAUAAAAAAACAAGAAACAACAAUGAUAAUAAAUGCAUUUUUUUUUAAUUAAUGAUAUAUGAAUAAUGCACUCGAUAAGUCGAGUCGAGUAAAUUUGAAAGGUUUUAGAUUUUAUUUUUUUAAUUUUUAAUAUUAUUUUAAAAAAAAAAGACAUGAUUAAUGAUGUAAAUGAUAAAUGUUUAUUGUUAUGUUAAAUUUUAGUACCGUUGUGAAUUAUUUUUAUUAAAAUAGAGAAUAUUGAUAUUUUUUCUAAAUUUUAUUGGAGAGGUAUCACCGAAAGUUACUCUAAAUUAACAAGUAAUAUAAUUUAUAAAUUAUGUAAACUCACAAUGAGUCUAAAUUAACAAGUAAUAUAAUUUAUAAAUUAUGUAAACUCACAAUGAGUACAAAUUGAACUUUUUAUUUUUGCCGAAAAAAAUAUGUACUUAAUUAUUAUCAAUAUUUACUUAUUUUUAUUAUUAAAUUUUAAAUUUAUUAUAUAGAAAAGUAAUAAUUCUUUAUUUAAAUUUUAAUGACAAUUUUUAUUGUCGUUAUUAAUUUUUUUUACGAUUAUAUUAAUUAUCAUUAACAAAAGACAAAUUUAUUAUUAUUAUUAUAGUUUUAAUGAUUGAUUAGAGUGUCAUCAUAAUUAAUAUUAAUAAUUAAUAUACAAUAUCCUUAUUAAAAAUUUUUAACGAGAAAAUCUCUAAUAACAAUUUACAUUAAUGACCAAAUGAAAUGAUUGUUAAUAAUUUUAAUGAUCAAUUUUUAAUAUUUAAUGAUAAUUUUUUUCUAUGAAUAUUUUUCUUGUAGUGUUAUUCAUAUUUUUGGCUAUUUGAAACACUUUGAAAAUUUAAUCAAUAAAAAAUAUUUUCAUAUUCAUAUAAAAAAUUAAGUCAUUCUAAAGAAAAUAAAAUUUUAUUUUCAAAAGAAAAAGUUAUUCUCGCAUUUGAGCAUCUUAUUAACACCUUCAUAUAAAUUAGUUAAUAAAAUUUAUUUUUGAAUUGAAAUUAAAUAAAAGAAAAUAAAUUAUUUUGUUAAAAAAUAUUUUCUAAAUAUUAUUCAAAUAGAAAUAAUAUUUUAAAAAUAAAACAAAAUCUAAAUUAUAAGUAAAAUAUAUGAAAGUACUUAACUCACUCAAGAAAAUUUUAUUUGCUAAAUAUUAAUAAACUAUUGUAUGCAAUGCCAUAUCAGUUCAUAUUUUUUAAUGGCAUACAUUUGUAGCACUCUAAACUUUAAAAAGGUGUCAUGACAUAUCUAAAUUAUUUAUAAGUGAAGUUAAAAUAGUAUCACAAUCUUAAUAUAGCACGAACCUUUUACAAUAUUUCUAAAUCAAUUUUAAUUUAGUAUGAAGAUUUUUUUUUUAGUGUAAAACAUAUACGGUGAACUUCAAUUUCAAAAUUUAUGCAUUGUGUAUAAUUAUUUUUUUUAUAACUAAGUGAUUGUUAAAAGUGAAAUUAGAUAAUAAUUUAAUGUUUGUGGAUAUAUGUCCAUACUUUUAUACUCCAUACUAUUUUAUAUUAAGAUUAUAAGAUCAUUUUAUUUGCAUUUUGAAUAGUUUAAGUAUAUCGUAGGAUGCUCUAAAAAGUUUAAACUACUAUAAAAAUUUUUUAAUAAAGUUUAGAGGCGUAACUAUAUAUCUAGUUUUUCUUAAUUUAAUAAGUUAUCUAUUGAGAAAUAAAGUUAACGUCAAAAUAAGUUAGGGAGUUGGUUAUGAGAGAAUAGGAAAUGCAUUUUAGUGUACACAAGUAAUUUUUAUUUGCAAUUACUGAAUUUUAGUGUUUGUUUCACUAUAUUCACUAAAUUUAAUUUUAUUAUACUAAAAUAAAAUAAUUAAUAAUAAAAAAUUAUAUAAGCUAAAAUUAAUUAUAAUUUUCAUGAAUUUUAUUAAUAUUAAAAAUAAAAUUAAUUUUUUAUAUAACCGUCUUUUAUAGAAUAUAGUAUAAUAUUUUUAUAUCAAAAAUUAAUAAAAAAUUACAAAAUGUGGUGCAUAUAAACAGUAAUGCAUUUCCUUUCCCAAUUUCCUUUUGUUAUCCUUACCACUUUACCCGCAGGCAGAGAGCCUUCCUUUUCCAAUUCUCUAUUUCCUGUCCUCAUUCCCAAUCUCCGAUCCAUCCCUAAAAACAACUGACGAGAGAUCGAUGAUGAUGAAGAUGCCUUGGAGGAGGAAGAGCAGGAGCUUCCAUCUUCAGCUACAAGGGGCAAUUGGUACCAUUCAAUCUCCAUUCCUAUUCUUAUUUACCAAUUAUUGCCAUUCUUCUACUUCCACACUUGAAGAUGCACGCUUCUUGACAAAUAUCUUCAAAUCUGCUUCUUUUACCCGCCUUCAUGAUGCCAUUGCUUCCUUUAAUCAUGUAAUUCAUAUGCAUCCUCUUCCUUCUAGGGCUCAAUUUUGUAGAUUCUUAUCUGCCCUUGUGAAAAUGAAACAAUAUCACACUGUCUUUUCCAUGUCCAAAACAAUUGAAUUGCUAGGAAUCUCUCACGAUGUUUAUUCUCUUAACAUCUUAAUUAAUUGCUUCUGCCGUUUACAUCUUGUGGAUUUUGGCUUCUCUGUUUUUGGUAAGAUGCUCAAAUUCGGAUUGGAGCCUGACGUUGUGACAUUUACUACCUUAAUUAAUGGGCUUUGUAUAGAGAGUAAAAUCGACAAAGCAGUGGAAUUUUUCGAUGAUAUGGUUGCACGUGGUUAUCAACCUAAUGUUCGUACUUUCAAUGUGAUAGUAAACGGAUUGUGUAAAUUUGGGAAAACAAAUGUGGCUAUUGGGCUACUAAAGGGAAUGACUGAUAGAGGUUGUGAGCCAAAUGUUGUGACAUACAGUGCAAUCAUUGACGCCCUUUGCAAAGAUGAGCUAGUUGGUGAGGCUUUAGAGCUCUUCUCUCAAAUGAGGAAUAAGGGCAUUUCACCUGAUGUCAUCACUUACACUAGUUUAAUUCAUGGUGUUUGCAAAUUAGGCCAAAAGAACCAAGCUUUAGCCUUGAUGAAUGAAAUGGUGGAGCAGAACAUAUCACCUGAUGUUUACACCUUCAGUGUAUUGAUUGAUGCUCUUUGUAAGGAUGGAAUGGUUUCAGAGGCUCAAAAUACAUUCAAUGUAAUGAUUCAAAGAGGUGUAGAGCCUGAUGUGGUCACUUACAAUUCCUUAAUCGAUGGUCUUUGCAUUUCAGACCAAUUCAAGGAAGCUUUGUCCUUGUUGAAAGAAAUGGUGGGGAGGAACAUAUCCCCUGAUGUUUUUACCUUCAAUAUAUUGAUCGACACUCUUUGUAAGAAAGGACUGGUUUCAAAUUCAGAGAGUAUAAUCAAAAUAAUGAUUCAAAGAGGUGUGGAACCUGAUGUUGUCACUUAUAAUUCAUUGAUGGAUGGAUAUUGUCUAGGCAGCCAAAUUGAUAAGGCUAGAAAGCUAUUUGAUCUGAUGGUGACCAAUGAAAUAGCUGGCAUUUUUAGCUACAACAUUUUGAUCAAUGGAUAUUGUAAGUGCAAAAUGAUAGAUGAUGCAAAGCAGAUUUUUUAUGAAAUAUCUCAUAAAGGUUUAGUUCCUGAUGCUUUUACCUAUCAUACUCUUAUAAAGGGUAUGUUUCAAGCAGGGAGGCCCCAAACUGCAAAAGUGCUCUUUAAGGAUAUGUGCUCUCAUGGUCAACAGCCAAAUAUAGUAACCUUCUCAAUUAUGAUUGAUGGCUUGUGUAGACAGGGGAAUCUCGAUGAGGCACUCACCCUAUUGAAAGCAAUGGAGAAAAGUGAGUUGAAGCCUAAUUUUGUGAUCUAUAGCAGUCUGAUCAAUGGUAUGUGCAAAGUUGGGAAGAUUAAUGAUGCCAAGGAACUUUUUUAUAGUCUUUUUGAAAUUGGUUUACAACCUGAUGUUUAUGUAUAUAAUGCAAUUAUGAAAGGACUCUGCCAACAAGGAUUAACGGAUGAAGCUUAUAAGGUAUUUAAAGACAUGGAAAAGGUAGGAUGUUUACCAAAUAAUUGUUGUUAUAAUAUCAUCAUUCAAGGGUUUCUCAGGCAUGAGGAUUUACCAAAAGCAUCAGAAUUAAUCAAUGAAAUGGUUGAUAAGGGGUUCUCUUCUAAUGAUGCUACCACAGAAUUGGUAGUACAUUUAUCGCGGAAUAAUGAUCUCAUUCUGAGGCUUUUAAAGGUGCGCAAUGAGGGAUCAACAAACUAAAGUUGUUAUAUCUUGACCAUUCAAGUGUGUCUUGGAGCACAACUUGGUAAUUACCUUUUUCAAAUAUAAUAGAUAUGUAAUUUAACUAAUUUCUUCAAAUAUCAUUUUUAAUUUCAAUCAGCUGUGAUUCUCUUCUACAAAAUGAAAUUUUCUAACACCGCAAAUGACCUGUCAUGGUUUACCACGAGCAGACUCGCGAAUAAACUCGUAAAUAGUUUCGUUAAGCAGGCUGAAAUUAAUAAUAUAAGAGAAAUAAAUUCAAAUCUUACAUAUACUUUUAUGAGUCAAAUUUAAAUUUUAUAAAGUUCAAUUUAAUAUUGUGUAAUUAGACUAUUAAAACUUGCAUAUAUUUGGAUCGUUAAGAGUUCAUCUUUAUAAGUUUAAGAGCUAAUUUGUAUAUGUGAAGGUCAGCUGUUUGCUUGAUGUGGGACGUCCCUCUCAUCGGCAGAGUACGAAAAAUCAAAAUUGUAUAUAAUAGUUAAUUACGAAACUACUAAAUAACUUGGAUUAACUAUUUUGGGCCAAGUGGAAAGUAGGUCAAAAGUUAUUUGGGUUAGUUUGGGCCGGAUUGUUAUGCUUACUUAAUGUAGGAAGACGUCCCACAUCGACGGAAAAUGAAACUACAAGUAAAAAGUGGGCACUUUCCAAAAAUUAUUUAGGUGGGUCGAGCCGUUUCAGUAUAUAUACUUAUUUAGUUUUAAACUAAAACUCAUUACACAUAUAAAUAAAUUAAAUUAUUGGUGAAUUAUUUGAGACUAAACUCAAUAAAAACUUGACUAGUCUAAGUUUAUUUGCUAAAAGAGUCAAAUUUGAACUUAUUAAUACUCCACUUAAAAAAAUUUUAACGGACUAAAUUUGAACUCUUCAAAACGAUUAGUUUACACUCUAAGUAAAUUUUAAAAAGUGUUUAAAUUACUAAUAAGCUCUAAAUCCAAAUUACCAAAAAAUUACUAACGGAUUUGAAAAUCCGUUACUAAACUUUAUCAUCAAAUUAAUAAGUAAAAAAAAAAUAUUAAAUUUAUCAACAGAUGCUACCUGCUAGUAAAUCCGUUGAUAAAUUUAAAAUAAAAUCCUACAUAAAAUUCUUUCUUUUUUUUUUUACAACUCACAUUUUUCAGUUACCAACGGAUUUGCUAAUAAAUUUUAGUAACGAAUUACAAAUUUAUUAAUAAUUCGCGUUUAUAAAUAUAACACCAGCUCCUCUGCUUUUAUUAUUCGUUCAUCUUAUCAUCCGCCUUUCUUCCAUUUUUUCCCUUUCUCUCAUUUUCAUUCUUUUUCUUUCUUUCUUUCAUUUCACUUUUUUAUCUCAUAAUUUUUUUUUCUAUUAUUUUUCUUUCAUCUCUUAUCCUAUUUUCUCUAAUUCUCUUUCGUCUUCUAUUACUCUUUUUCAUUUUUCAUUUUCUCCAUUUUCUUUUCCAUCUUUUUAUUUCCUUUCCUCUUAUCUUCUUCAUUUUUUCUAUAAUUUUCAUUCAUAUUAAUUUUUUAAUAUUAUUUUCUCCUAUCAUUUUCUUUCUAUCUAUAUUUUUCUAUUAUUUUAUCUUUAUUUAUUUUCUUCUCUAAUCAUUUGUUCAUUUUUUUUCAUUUUUCUAAUUAUCUUUUUACUCAACUCUCAUUCUUUCUUCUUUUUCAUAAUUUUUAUUUUUCUAUCAUUUUCUUUAUUUUUCUCUUUUUUCUUUCUUUUUUAUUAUUUUCUCUCAUUUUGUACUAUUUGUUUUUUUUUUUAUUUGCACUUUCUAUGUAUUUCUAAUAAAUAUUGAAUAUAAAUUAAAAACUUAAUAACAAUAAUAAUAUAAUUUUAAGUCUUAUUAAAUUAAUAAAAAAUUAUUUAAAUUCUUAAUAAAUUUACUAAUGGAAUGCAAUUCGUUAAUAAUUUACUAACGGAUUUCACAUAUGUUAAUAAAUUAUUUUUCUUUUAUACUAACAGAUUUAAAAUUUGUUAGUAAUUUGGAAUCUGUCGGUAAUAAUAAUGAAAACUCCGUUAAUAAAUCCGCUAGUAUUACUAACGAAUUUGAAAGUCGGUAAAAAUUUACCGUCAAACUUUUUAACAACGGAUCGUAAUCUAUUAGUAAUCAAUUGUUAAUUUAUUUACCAUUGGAUUUUUAUUGAAUUGCCAAUGAAAAAAUCACUGCAUUAUCAAUACAAAUUAAGAAGUUGUUGAUUCAUAUAUUUACAAUAAAAUGUCUUUUAAACUCUUAAGACUUUUGAAGCUAAAAUUGAAAAAACAUUCAUGAUGUUGUAUUUCUCCUUUGGUUGAAAUUGUUAUUCAUGCAAGAUGAUUUUUUCUGUUGUAACACUUUGGAAUGAUGUCUAUUAUUGGAAUGCAUAUGAUUGUUUGACUAAUAUAAAACAGAUAUAAGAAGUAUAUAGUUAAAAAGAUAAUUAUAAUUUUUAGCAAUAAACAUUUAAUAAAAAUAUUAAAUUUUUGAUAAUUUUAUAUUUUUAUGAUUAGAUUCACACAAUAAUUUAAUUUUCUAAUUUAACAUUUAUUAUGUAAUCUUAUAAAUAAAAUGUUUAUAAUUUUAAUUUUUAUGAAAUUUUGUACAUAAAUAUAUUCAUACUUUAAAAAUAUUAUUCUUAUAAUUUAUAAUACAAUAUAAUGUCUAUUAAAUGCAUAGAAAUAAUUUACAUAUUAUAAAUUUACGUUAAUAUUAUUAAUAAUAAAAUAAAAUUUAAAAUGCAAAAUAUAUUUAGUGAGUUUAACAUUUCAAAAUUUUAUUAUUUUGAAAUAAUUUUAUAUAUUAAUUUUUUACUGAUAUUAAUUAAAAUUAUAAUAUUAUUCAAAUAAAAUGUCAAAAUAAAAAUGUGCCAAACAGUUCUCAUGAGAGUNNNNNNNNNNNNNNNNNNNNNNNNNNNNNNNNNNNNNNNNNNNNNNNNNNNNNNNNNNNNNNNNNNNNNNNNNNNNNNNNNNNNNNNNNNNNNNNNNNNNNNNNNNNNNNNNNNNNNNNNNNNNNNNNNNNNNNNNNNNNNNNNNNNNNNNNNNNNNNNNNNNNNNNNNNNNNNNNNNNNNNNNNNNNNNNNNNNNNNNNNNNNNNNNNNNNNNNNNNNNNNNNNNNNNNNNNNNNNNNNNNNNNNNNNNNNNNNNNNNNNNNNNNNNNNNNNNNNNNUUCAAUUAAAUAUAAGGUACGGUUAUAAUAAAAUAUUAUUUUUAUGAAAAUAAAUUUAAUUAAAUCUCUAUAUUUUUAUUAAGAGUCACAUAAAUUCAAUUUAAAAUUUUUAAAAUUUUAAGCUAAUUAAACUAUGUAAUUUUAUUAAAGGCUAAAUAGAUUCUAACUUAAUAUUAUUUUUUAAUAAUAAAAUAUUAUUUUUAUAAUUUAAAACAUUAAAAUUUUAGUAUUUUAAUUAAAAUUAAAAAUUUUAAAAUAUAUAUAAAUAUAAUAAAUAAUUUCUAAAAUUAUAUAAAUAAAGUUUUAUCAUAUAAAAAUUUUUAUUAUUAAAAAAUAAUAUUAUGUUAAAUUAUGAUUUAUUUAAUUUUUGAGUAAUAAUAUAGAGAUUUAAUUUAUCCAAAAUUUUAAAUUAAAAUUAUUUAACUCUUCAAUAACGUGAGACUUAAUUGCAUUUAUAUUUACAAAAUUAUUUAUUAUAAAAUGAUAAAUUUAAUUUGUUAUUAAAUAAUAUUUUUAUAUGAAAAAUUAAUAAAAAAAUUACAAAAUGUGGCGCAUAUAAACAAUUCCUAAUUUCCUUUUGUUAUCCAUGCCACUUUACCAGCUGGCAGAGAGCCUUCCUUUUCCAAUUCUCUAUUUCCUUUCCUCAUUCCAAAUCUCCGAUCCAUCCCUAAAAACAACUGACGAGAGAUCGAUGAUGAUGAAGAUGCCUUGGAGGAGGAAGAGUAGGAGCUUACAUGUUCAACUACAAGGGGCAAUUGGUACCACUCAAUCUCCAUUCCUAUUCUUGUUUACCAAUUAUUGCCAUUCUUCUACUUCCACACUUGAAGAUGCACGCUUCUUGACAAAUAACUUCAAAUCUGCUUCUUUUACCCACCUUGAUGAUGCCAUUGCUUCCUUCAAUCAUGUAAUUCAUAAGCAUCCUCUGCCUUCUAGGGUUCCAUUUAAUAGAUUCUUAUCUGCCCUUGUGAAAAUGAAACAAUAUCACACUGUCCUUUCCAUGUCCAAAACAAUUGAAUUGCUAGGAAUCUCACACAAUCUUUAUUCUCUUAGUAUCUUAAUUAAUUGCUUCUGCCAUUUACACCUUGUGGAUUUUGGCUUCUCUGUUUUUGGUAAGAUGCUCAAAUUCGGAUUGGAGCCUGACGUUGUGACAUUUGCUACCUUAAUUAAUGGGCUUUGUAUAGAGAGUAAAAUCGACAAAGCAGUGGAAUUUUUCGAUGAUAUGGUUGCACGUGGUUAUCAACCUAAUGUUCGUACUUUCAAUGUGAUAGUAAACGGAUUGUGUAAAUUUGGGAAAACAAAUGUGGAAUGGUUUCAGAGGCUCAAAAUACAUUCAAUGUAAUGAUUCAAAGAGGUGUAGAGCCUGGUGUGAUCACAUACACAUCCUUAAUUGAUGGUCUUUGCAUUUCAGACCAAUUCAAGGAAGCUUUGGCCUUGUUGAAAGAAAUGGUAGGGAGGAACAUAUCCCCUGAUGUUUUUACCUUCAAUAUAUUGAUCGACACUCUUUGUAAGAAAGGACUGGUUUCAAAUGCACAAGAUAUAAUCAAAAUAAUGAUUCAAAGAGGUGUGGAACCUACCUUUGUCACUUAUAAUUCAUUGAUGGAUGGAUAUUGUCUAGGCAACCAAAUUGAUAAGGCUAGAAAGCUAUUUGAUCUGAUGGUGACCAAUGAAAUAGCUAACAUUUUUAGUUACAACAUUUUGAUCAAUGGAUAUUGUAAGUGCUAAAUGAUAGAUGAUGCAAAGGAAUUUUUUGAUGAAAUGUCUCAUAAAGGUUUAGUUCCUAGUGGUGUUACUUAUUCUACUCUUAUAAAGGGUAUGUUUCAAGCAGAGAGGCCCCAAACUGCACUAGAGCUCUUUAAGAAUAUGUCCUCUCAUGGUCAGCAGCCAGAUAUAGUAACAUUCUCAAUUAUGAUUGAUGGCUUGUGUAGACAGGGGAAUCUGGAUGAAGCACUCACCCUAUUGAAAGAAAUGGAGGAAAGUCAGUUGAAGCCUGAUCUUGUGACUUAUUGCAUUCUGAUCAAUGGUAUGUGCAAAGCUGGCAAGAUUAAUGAUGCCAAGGAACUAUUUUCUAGUCUUUUUGAAAAUGGUUCACAACCUAAUGUUCAUAUAUAUAGUGCAAUUAUGAAAGGACUCUGCCAAAAAGGAUUAAUAGAUGAAGCAUAUAAGAUUUUUAGAGACAUGGAAAGGGGAGGAUGUUUACCGAAUAAUUGUUGUUAUAAUAUCAUCAUUCAAGGGUUUCUUAGGCAUGAAAAUUUACCAAAAGCAUCAGAACUUAUCAACGAAAUGGUUGAUAAGGGAUUCUCUGCUGAUGCUACCACCACCGAAUUGGUUGUACAUUUAUCGCGCAAUGAUGAUCUCAUUCUAAGAAAACUACGAGAUAGUUUCGAGGCUACUAAAUGCAUAAAUGUUAAGUGAUUUUAACAAUCAACACUUGAUCAGCAGAUGCAAGAGGUCUUCAUUGUAAUGUGAGUUAUUGGUACUUCAAUCUAUUUCCUAUAGUGUUGUUAGUUGCUUUUGCUUUUUACAAGAAACUGUUUAGGGUUAGCACUAAACUCAAGUUUUCAGGUUGUAUAAGCAGAUUAGCUUUGCUGAAUCUGUUCCAAUACUGCAUUGGUCUGCAAUAAGUUGAAAAAAAAAAGAAUCUUAAGACUCCAGUUUUAUGUAUACAAUGAGAGAAAUUGCGCCUGCCCUCUUCUUACGUAUUCCUUUUUUUCCUCUCAUUUUGAAAUUCAUCAUUCUGGUAUAACAAUCUGCACUUAUACCCAGUUUUUCUAAGUGUCAGAUGAUUUAUUGUCAUGUAUGGAAAAUAUCAAAAGGUGAAGAGCAGCAAUUACUUUUCUUAUUUUUGAGUCUUACUCAACCUGAAAGCUUUUGUUUUGCCUUAUUAUUAUACUAUAUGAAGUGAAUUGAGCAGAGUUUUAUUGUAAUUCAAAAUGUGUGUUUCAUAAUUUUUGUUGUCUUCGUGAUUUGCUUGCAAUGAGCAGGAAACAAUAUACGUGUCUUUACUUUAAAGAACUUGGGGUAAGGGAGAAGAAAAAUCAAGAAUCUAACUAAUGUAAAGAACUUGGGGUAAGGGAGAAGAAAAAUCUAGAAUCUAACUAAUGUAAAGAACUUGGGGUAAGGGAGAAGAAAAAUUAAGAAUCUAACUAAUGUUUAUGUGUGUCCAAGUUAUCAUUACCCUUGAAAUUUAUAUCUAGGAGAAUGAAAAUAUAAACUCUUAAUUGAGAGAGGGUCAAUUUGAUAGUUUUUCUUCUCCAAAUUCUUGGUCCUUCAAGAUAUUUCACAUUCAUCUUCCAUGAGAAUUAUAGGAUCACAACAACAGGCUCUUAAUCUUCUAUUCCUAACAAAUUAGCCACUAACCUCCAAACCAACUCUGCCAUCUUAAGAAACUAUAACUUUACAACUGACUUCAAAUCCUAUUAUUCUCAAAACUAUGGACUUAAACUCAACUCUAAUUACCAUUAAUAAAUCAAAAUGGAAAAAAAUGUAAAUUAAUCUAGGUAAAAAAACCUUGCUUAAUUUUGGAAGUCCAAAUCUCAUCAGGAAACCUUACUCAUUACCCAUACAUAUAAAUUGAAUCACAGCUGGUCUUAUCUGCUACGCAAUUUCCUUCCGAUCUCUUCUUUCUUUAACUCAUAAAUUCUUGAUAAUAUUUUCAUCUAAAGUUUCCUUAAACCCUAGAAAAAUCCAUCAACAAUGCCAUCACCGAUAAGUUCUGGCAGGAAAAUGGGUUCUCUCUUCAGGAUUUUAGGUUAAGGUUAUACAUGCAAGUUAUCUUUUUAUAUAUAUAGUACAAUUAUGAAAGGUCUAUGCCAAAAAGAAUUAUUAGACGAAGUAUAUAAGAUUUUUAGAGACUUGAAAAAUUAUGGAUGUUUACUGGAUAAUUGUUGUUAUAAUAUCAUUAUUCAAAGAUUUCUCGGAGCUUUUUGUUUAAUAAGAGUUUUUAAAUUUUUAUUUUGUUAGUAAAAUAUUUAUUCUCUUAAAUUUACUGUUAUUCACAAAAAGUAACUAUGAACUCUUUCAAUAUAUAUGAAUAUAUUUUAUAGCAGUUUUAUAUUAAAUAUUUUUUCUGUUAUAUAAACUCUAAAUUUUUAAAUUCUAAACUCUCUAAUUUCUAAUUUAUAUUAAAAUAUUUAUAGUAGUUUUGUAUUAAAUAUUUUUUCCACUAUGCAGACCCGAACCCUUAAUUUCUAAAUUUACUAAUUUUCAAUUUAUGUCAAGAUAUUUUAUUGUAACCUUAUAUUAAAUAUUUUUUUUGACUUUAUUUAAAUAACAAAUUACUUUUAUAAAAUUUAUACAAUUUUUUUACAUUACUUUUCUAAGUGUUAGAUAAUUUAUUGUCAUGUAUGAAAAAUAUCAGCAGUUUCUUUUUUUUUAUUUCUGAGUCAUACUCAACCUGAAAGUUUUUGUUUUUGCUUUUUAGUAAUACUAUGCUAACUGAGUGUGCCACAAAAUAGAAGAGGUUGUUUACCAAAAGGUGGUUGUUAUAACAUAACCAUUCAAGGGUGCUUGGAGUGCAAGGAUUUACCAGGGGCCAGUAAGAUAGCUUCUGGAUAGAAGUGUUGUUGGUCAUCUGUGUGCUAUUACCCGGUUUUGACCAAAUUACUUAUCAUAGGCUUCAGAGAAACUGUGGAACGUCGAAUGAAGUUCUUUGAUCUCAUUUAAUUCUGAUGUGUACUUGAAAAUAUUAUGGUAAUUUCCUUUCAUUAUCUGUCUUGGUUAGUUUUCAAGAUUGUCUAGGCUGGAGUAUACAACAACAAUUAUAUCCUAGUACCUAACUAGUUGAGAUAAGUUAUAUGGAUAAUUUUGUUUUUGUAAAUUUAUAUUAUCUAGGCUCCAGUAUAAUCUCUUAAGAAUCGAAAGCAUACCCCUUCUUGAUAUUUUUAUCUUCUAAUCAGUAUGAUUAGUGUUAUAGGUUAUAGGAAGUAAAUAUGUUAAUAUAGGAAGUAAAUAUUGAUAGAUGAGUUAGUUGCUUAAUCUUAGGGAUUGUAUAAUCAUAGACUUGAUUUUCCUUCCUGUUUAGAUACCGUCUCUCAUGUAUAAAUAGGUUGUAAUCUCUAUUGUGAUAUACAACAACAAAUAUUAUCCUUCUACAUGGUAUCAGAGCUAUUCUCGUAGAGAUUUAAUUUUUUUCCUCUCUCGUCAAGUAUUAAAAUUUUUUUUUGACACUUAGGGCUCUGUUCAUUUGGGUUACCCAUAAAGGGUAACAUUUGGAUCUCACCGUCGUUGGAGUCGCCACACCGUCCCCUUGUCAGAUCUGAGAUUUGUUUGCCGUUCGGGUGUUGGGUGGAGGUGUUUUUUGGUACUGUUCAUAUUCGGGUAUUGUUCAUCGGCACUGUUCACGGGUCCUGUUCAUCGGCACUGUUCACGGGUCCUGUUCAUCGGUACUGUUCACGGGCACUGUUCAUUGAUACUGUUCACGGGUACUGUUCACGGGAGGAAUCCUUUAUUAUUAUUGCCGCGAACCUAGACAUACUAAGAAAUGUCAAAAACUACAGAAUAAGAAUCAGCGCACACAAAUGACGCAUAUGGCAGUUGAGGCCCCUUCAGAUAAGGGGAUUUUGAUAUCUGCAGAUAAGUAUGCAUAAUUCACCCAAUACCAGGCAUCUCUGAAAUCCUCUAAUUCCUCCUCUAUCACUGCAAUUGCCGGGUCAGGUAACUUUACUGCAUGUCUUGUGUCUUCAUCCUCCAAAUGAGUUAUUGAUUCUGGUGCUACCGAUCAUAUGUCAGGUAAUUCUACCAUUUUGUCCAAUCUUGAGUCUCAUGCAUCGCCUUCUUAUGUUACUCUUGCUGAUGGUACUAAAUCUUUUGUCAUGGGUUCUGGUAAUGUCAACUUAACCCCUUCUCUUUUUGUAUCCUUUGUGUUAUGUCUCCCUAAGUUCGCAUUUAAUUUGCUUUCUGUUAGUAAACUCACUCGUGCAUUGAAUUGUUGUGUCUCAUUCUUUCCUGAUCACUGUAUUUUUCAAGAUCUUUCGAUGAAGCAGAUUAUUGGUAGAGGGCGUGAGUCAGAGGGUCUCUACGUCUUGGAUCAGCAACUACCUAAAUCUCAUGCAUGUUCCACGCGGUUAACACCUUUUGAUGUUCAUUGUCAUUUGGGGCAUCCUUCUCUCUCAGCUUUGAAGAAGUUAUAUCCACAGUUUCAUUCUUUGUCUGUUUUAGAUUCUAUUUCAGUUCCCAAAACUGUUAUUGAGGCUUUGUCCCAUCCUGGUUGGCGUGCUGCAAUGGAAGAGGAAAUGAUGGCCCUUGACACUAAUGGUACUUGGGAGCUGAUGUCCUUGCCCUCAGAAAAGCGGGCUAUUGGGUGCAAAUGAGUGUUUGUAGUGAAAGUAAAUCCUGAUGGAUCUGUUGCUCGGCUCAAGGCCCGUUUAGUGGCAAAAGGUUAUGCACAAACUUAUGGAGUUGACUAUUCUGAUACAUUUUCCCCAGUUGCUAAGCUCGCAUCUGUUCGAUUGUUUAUUUCCUUGGCAGCUACACAUGAUUGGCCUUUGCAUCAACUGGAUAUUAAAAAUGCUUUUCUUCAUGGUGAUCUUUAGGAGGAGGUUUGUAUUGAGCAACCACCUGGUUUUGUUGUUCAGGGGGGGUCAGGCAAGGUUUGUAGACUUCGAAAAUCCUUUUAUGGCUUGAAAUAGAGUCCUCGGGCAUGGUUUGGCAGGUUUAGUGAGGUGGUCCAACAGUUUGGAAUGAAGAUGAGUAAAUGUGAUCACUCAGUGUUUUAUAAAAAUUCUGAUAGUGGAGUAAUUCUACUUGUAGUAUAUGUGGAUGAUAUCGUUAUUACAGGAAGUGACAUUGCUGGCAUCACAUCCCUAAAAGAAUUUCUUAAAACACAGUUUCAUACAAAGGAUUUGGGUUCAUUGAAAUAUUUAUUGGGAAUCGAAGUUAUGCGGUGUAAGAAAGGCAUCUUCUUGUCUCAAAGGAAAUAUGUUCUUGAUUUAUUAGCAGAAACAGGAAAAUUGGAUGCUAAGCCUUGUAGUGCUCCAAUGACUCCUAAUCUUCAACUUACCAUAGAAGACAGUGAGCCAUUUGCAGAUCCUGAAAGGUAUAGAAGAUAAGUUGGCAAGCUGAAUAAUUUGACUGUGACUCGUCCUGAUAUUGCAUAUUCAGUGAGUGUAGUAAGUCAGUUUAUGUCCUCUUCUACUGUUGCCCAGUGAGAUGCUGUGGGACAAAUUCUUUGUUAUCUUAAAGGGGCCCCAGAGCGAGGCCUAUUCUAUGGUAACCAUGGGCACUCAAAUAUUGAAUGCUUUUCUGAUGCUGAUUGGACAGGCUCGAAGGUUGAUAGGAGGUCAACUACUGAGUAUUGUGUUUUUGUGGGAGGUAACUUGGUCUCAUGGAAAAGUAAGAAGCAAAAUGUGGUCUCUCGUUCUAGUGCUGAAUCUGAAUAUCGAGCCAUGACACAAGCCGUUUGUGAAGUCUUGUGGGUACGUCAACUAUUAAAAGAAGUUGGGUUCACAAAUUUGGUGCUUGCUAAGUUUUGGUGUGAUAAUCAAGCAGCUAUUCACAUUGCCUCCAAUCCAGUAUUUCACGAGAGGACUAAACACAUUAAGAUUGAUUGUCAUUUUGUUCGUGAAAAGGUCCAAUAAAAGAUAAUAUUCAACAGGACAUAUUCGAACUGGAGAACAAUUAGGAGAUAUCUUCGCUAAAGCUCUAAAUGGAACUCGAGUUGAUUAUAUAUGUAACAAGUUGGGCAUGAUUAACAUUUAUGCUCCAACUUGAGGGGGAGUGUUAUAGGUUAUAGAAAGUAAAUAUGUGAAUAUAGAAAGUAAAUAUUGAUAGAUGUGUUAGUUGCUUAAUCUUAGGGAUUGUAUAAUCAUAGGCUUGAUUUUCCUUCCUGUUUAGAUACCGUCUCUUAUAUAUAAAUAGGUUGUAAUCUCUAUUGUGAUAUACAUUAACAAAUAUUAUCCUUCUAUAAUUAGAAAGAGUUGGUUGUACUUCAAAUAUGUGAUUCUUACGGUAUGGAUCACAUAAUUUUUGUUUUCUUCAUGAUUUGCUUUCAAACAGCAAGAAACAACUUACAUGUCUCAACUUUAAAAGAACCAGGUAGAAGACAAAUAAAAAAAUCUAACUUAAAUACAUUUCCCCUUUAUUUUAGAUUCUUUACCUUUGAAAUUGAUAUGCAUUACAAGUGAAGAUUGGGUCAAGGAAGCCAGAGCAUUCUAGCAUUUUUCAAAAUGGAAGGAGCAUUUAGGCCAGUUUGAUGUUGGUCAUUGUUAUGAUUCAUUGUAUUUAUAGUUUGAGAAAUUAUAUUAAUUAUUAGGGAUGCAAAUGUCAGAGCAGUGGCUCUAAUGAGACUAAAAUGGGAAUAGAAUAGGGAAUAAAGAGGAGAAGAAGAGAAGAGUGUUUGGACAGAGAAAGAGAGUUUUUAGAGGAAGCAAGCUAUAUUUGCAUUAAUGUAUUAGAAUGCCUUUACAUGUGCAUUAUACUAAGAUAUAUACUAUUUUGUAGUAACUAACUUGAUAGUUGUACACUCACUAGCUAUAACUGCUACUAGCUAUAACAGCUUAUACUAGUCACAAUAUUUCCUGCUAUACAUUUUAGUCUGUCUUAUUUCUAUAUUUCUUCUUAAAAUACGUGACAAUACUCCCUGGUUGAGAACUUUCUUGACCUCAAGAAAAGGAAACAUGAGGAAACUGAGCCUCAAUAAAAUCCUUAUCUUCCCAAGUUGCAUCUUCAGGUGGUAGAUUCACCCAUUUGAUUAAUCCCUGUGCCACAUGGUCAUUUCCCCUUAGAAUAGUUCUAGUCUGUAACACUUUUUGGAGCCACUAUGAAGUUAUCAUGCUGGAGUUGUGGUAAGGCUGUGGAAAUGCUAACAGAGUCUCCCACUUUCUUCUAUCAAGGACACAUGAAAAACAGGAUUGAUGGAAGAUUCAAGGGGUAACUCCAGCUUAUAUGCUAUUUUCCCCACUCUGGAAACAAUCUUAUAAGGCCCAUAAUAUUUAGUACACAAUUAGAGACUGUCCAAGUGCUAAUGAGGUUUGUCUGUAUGGUUAAAGCUUUAAAUAGACCUAAUCACCCACAUCAAAUCCUCUUUCGGUCCUUCUGAAAUCUGUUUGCUGCUUCAUUAUGUUCUAAGCCAAUUCCAAAUUUUCUUUUAAAGUUGUCGCUUCUUAUGUCUACUUUGUAAAAUAUUAUCCACUACUUUGAUAGUCAUUCCAGCUAACAGUUCCAUAGGAAAGCUGAGAGGGGUAGCCAUAAUGUGCUUGGAAAGGUGACAUCUUAAGAGCACUAUGAGGAGUGGAAUUGUACCACCAUUCAGCCAUACGAAGCCACUAACUCCAAGUGUUGGUUUCAGAUGAACCAUGCAUUUCAGGUAAUUCUUUAGGCACUGGUUAACCCUCCUCGUUUGCCCAUCAGACUGAGGAUGAUAUGUGGAAUUGAAAGCUAGCUUAACGCCCAAACUUUUAAGCAAUUCCUACCAAAACAAGCUAGUGAAUACUUUAUCUCUGUGAGAGACUAUAAUCUUGGGAAUGCCAUGCAACUUAUAGAUAUGAUCCAUGAAUAAAUGAGCCAAUGUAGUAGAAGAAAAGGGAUGAGUAAGGGCAUAAAGUGUGCUAGCUUUGUAAGCCUACAAACCACCACUAAGAUGGUAUUCGUCCCUUUCGAUUUAAGGAGUCCCUCAAUAAAAUCCAUAGAUAUUUCUUGUCAAGCCUGAGUAGGAAUUGGCAAGGGCUUCAAUAGGCUUGGAUAAACACGGUGUUCAUUCUUGCAUCUUGCAUAUAUGUCACAUUGUGUUUAACACACUCCACGACUCCCUUUAGCAUGCUAGAUCAAUAGAAAUACUUCUUGAACUUUAGAUAAGUGAGAUGAACCCCAGAGCGUCCACCCACUAUUGAGUUAUGAUAAGAUUCCAGUAGCUGCUGCCUCAAGGUUUUGUUGUCCCCAACAUACAUUCUUGUUUUAUAAAACAGAACUCCAUUCUUUAAUUGGUAAUUGGUGGUAGCAGCAUAAGCAAUUGAGAGUUGUUGUAUCAAAUCAGUGGCCUUGGUGUCUCCUUUAUAACUAUUCUCCAAGUGCUGCAUCCAAGAUGGAAUAACCACUAAUGGUAAACUAUACAUUUGUUGCUUAUCAACAACAGUAGGCCUCCUAGAAAGUGCAUCUGCCACUGUGUUCUCUAUCCAUUCUGUAUAAUAUCUUGUAAUCAAGUCCCAACAGUUUUGAGAUGCCCCUCUGUUGUUGAUUGGUAUGCAAUCUUUGCUUUGGGAGAUGUUUAAUGCUUUCAUGGUCUGUGUUGAUGAAAAACUGUCCUUGUUCUAAAUAAUGCCUCCAUUUGCUUAUUGCAAAUGUAGUAGCCAGCAACUCCCUUUCAUAAAUUAAUAAAGCCUAAUUCCUGGGUUUAAAAGCCUUGGAGAUGUACAGGGCAUCCUUGCUAUUGUUAAACAACCCCGUUCCCCUAAUUGCUUGCAUCAGUUCCUAUAGUGAAUUGUAGUAAGAAGUCUAGUAGAGGACUUCAAUCAUCUUCUAUUUUAGCUGUUCAAAUGAAAUUGAGCUUCCUCACUCUAUAGGUGCAUCUUUCUUCAAUAGAUUGGUUAAGGAUCUGCAAAUAAUCGGGUAAAUUUCACUCAUUGUCCUUGAACUUAUAGUGUUGUAACAUCAUCGUUCCUAAACUUCAAUUUGUAACAUAAAACCCAUUAAACUUUGACUUAGGUAACAAUAAACUCCUUGUAACUUUUUUUUGCUGGUUUACUGAUUAACAAACUUUCUCAUCUGUCACAUGUUAGAAUAAAACAUCUUCUCUCUCCUUUUUGUUAUCUCUCAAACUCAUUUUACAUCUCCUUGUAACCCAUCUGUCUAGACGGAUGAAUUGAAUGCUCAUUUCUCUACUAUUCUUUUUAUAUUAUAUUUGUGUGGACGUAUGUCAACAACUUUUAUAUUUGCUUCUAAUUCUACUCCCCUGCAAAUGGAUCUAAAAUGCGUCAUUUUGCUACCAUUAUUCAAAGAGGAAGCUAAGACCCAAGUGUUGUAUGUCCUCUUAGCAUAAGUGGAUAGUAUUUUCCAAGAGAAAAAGCAAAAUUAGGAAAGGCCCUUCAAAGGUUAAACUGAAAUUUGACAACAGAAAUGAGGACUUAGAACAAGAAAGUGAAGAAGAAGAGGAAGCUAAGGCAUGUUUCCAUAGUUAGUUCAACACCAAAUAACGCUUUAUGAUUGACGAGAAGGAGAUCUGCAAUGUACAACUCUUCUUAUUUAGCUAAUAGAAUUUGGGUUUUCACCUUUGAAAAGUGAAGUAAUAAAGCAAAAUCAAAAGUGCAAAGCAAGAUAACAGAAAAAAGGACAAUCUCACAUCAGAAAGAGAAUUUAUUUAUAGAGAAUCUGGUCAAGAAUGAAUAUUAGAUCCAAAAACUAAGGAAAAAUCAGUAGAUGAAAUGAACAAUAGGCUUUACAGGAGAGGAGUGAUUGUAUGAGUUAACUGAAUAGUUCUCCAUGUUAGUGGGUUUUGAAUGAAAGGUGGAGUUGGAAGAGAGGAGGGUUAUGAGAGGUGAGUAGUAGGAUUUGUGAGUCCAUUAGCAUGAAAGAAAAGAGAAAAAGAGAAGAAUGAGAUAUUGUAUAAGAUUUUUUUGUUAGUAGUGGAAGAUACGUCAGCAAAUUAACUAGUAAAAAUAAUGGUUUAAUAGAAUAUGUAAUUAGAAACCAAUAUUUAUAGUUUUCGAUUUAUGGUUUUUUUUAUUUCAAAAAUAUUUUUCAAUAAGUAGUAAAAAGUAAAAAUUUGCAACCCUAUUAAGUGAACAAUAAAAAAAUAAGAAACAAUGGUAAGUACAUUUGAGAGGUGUUAAGUUCUAUUCUCCCAAUUCUUAAUUUUCAUUUAAAAAUAAAUAAAUAAAUGUAUUCUUAUUUUUUUUUCUUAUUAAUGACAUGAAUAAUGCAUGUGGUGAGUGUAUCGAGUAAAUUUGAAAGAUUUUAAAUUUUAUUUUUUUAAUCUUCAAUCUCUAUUUAAAAAAAAAAUGACAUAUGACUAAUGAUUAAUAAUGUAAAUGGUUAUUAUUAUGUUAAAUUUUAAUACCAUGUGAAUUAUUUUUAUUAAAAUUGAGAAUAUUGAUCAUUAACUGAAAAUACAUAUUUUUUUAAAAUUUCAUUGAAAAGAGAAAGGAAUAAGGUAUCACCUAAAAUUACUCUAAAUUAACAAGUAAUAUAAUUUAUAAAUCAUGUAAACUUAUAAUAAAUUAACAAGUAAUAUAAUUUAUAAAUCAUGUUAUAAGAUUAUAAAUCAUGUAAACUUAUAACGAGUACAAGUUGAACUUUUUAUUUUUAUUAUUAUAUUUUAAAUUUAUUAUAUGAAAAAGUAAUCAUUCUUUAUUUAAAUUUUAAUGACAAUUUUUAUUGUCGUUAUUAAAUUUUUUUUAUGAUUAUAUUAAUUAUCAUUAAUAAAUGAUAAAUUUAUUGUUAUUAUUAUAAUUUUAAUGAUUGAUUAGAGUGUCGUCAUAAUUAAUAUGAAUAAUUAAUAUAUAAUAUCCUCGUUAAAAAUUUUUAACGAGAAAAUCUCUAACGACAAUUUAAUGACCAAAUAAAAUGAUUGUUAAUAAUUUUCGAUAAUCAAUUUUUAAUAUUUAAUGAUGAAUUUUUUUUGUAUUAAUGAUUAUUUUUCUUGUAGUGUUAUCUAUAUUUUUGACUAAUUAAGACAUUCUGAAAAUUUAGUCAAUAAAAAAUAUUUUUAUGUUCAAAUAAAAAAUUAAUUCAUUUUAAAGAAAAUAUAUGAAAGUACUUAAUUCACUCAAGAAAAUUUUAUCUAUAUCAUGCGUAUAGAAGUAAAAUUUGCUAAAGAUUGAUGAAAUAUUGCAUGCAAUGCCAUAUUGGUUUAUAUUUUUUAAUGGUAGACAUUUGUAGUACUCUAACUUUAAAAAUGUGCCAUGACAUACUUGAAUUAUUUAUAAGUGAAGUUAAAAUAGUUUGACAAUCUUAAUAUAGCACGAAGCUUUCAUAGUAUUUCUAAAUCAAUAUUAAUUCAGUAUGAAAAUUUUUUUUAGUGCGUAAAAAAUAUAUGGUUAGCUUUGCAUAAAUAUAAUUUUAUAUAUAUAUAUAUAAUUAAGUGAUUGUUGGAGGUGAAAUUUGAUAAUAAUUUGAUGUUUGUGGAUAUAUGUCGAUAUUUUUAUACUCUAUACUAUUUUAAUAUUUUAUAUUUAGUUUUUCUUAAUUCAAUAAGUUGUUUUAAAUCUAUGUGAAUGUAAUCUUAUGACUGAAGCUUUUGAUUACAGCAUUAUUCACAAAAUCAUUACGUAAUUUGUAUUGUAUAAUGCUUAAGAUAUUAUUUUUCAAUAUAACUAAACUAUUCAUUAACUGCUUUAUUAAACAUAUACAUUAAAUAGAAUUAUUGCAAAAUAAAAAAUUAAAAAUAAAAAUUGAACUUUUUUACUGAGAAAAAAAUUAUACAUUUAAUUUAUAAAAGGGAAAAAACUAAUGAUUAUUUUUUAAAAAAAUAAAAUAAUUUAUGAAACUAGAAAAAUGAAACAAAUAAUUCUAAUGAGGUAGUCUAGAAUUUUGAGUUUUUUCUAAAAAAAAUAUAAUAACAGAUAUUUAUAUAACUUUAUUCAAAUUUUUUUAUUAACUUUAUAUCAAAUAUCGUUAAUUAUUAUCAAUUUUUUUUACUCUUUUAGUAAUUACUCUCUUAAAAUAUGUUAGAGAAACACUUCAUUUUUUUUAAGUUUUAUUCCAAACGUACUUUAUAUACAUUUAAUGAAUCUUGCUAAAAUUUAAUUUAAUACAUAGAAUUUAACAUUAUUUAAUUUAAAAAAUAAAAAAUCUUUAUUUUAUCAUGUUUCAGCUUUUAUGUAAAUAAUAUGAAUAAAUAUGGAUUUUAAAAUAUAAAUUCAAAGUAAAUCCAUGUAUAAAUUUGUCCUAAAAUAUAGUGUAAUUAAUAUCGAUAACAGUUUUUAGUAAUAGUAUCCUGAUUUUCUUUGCCGAUAUAAUAUUAGAUAUAAAUUUAUAAAACAAAUAAACACCUGGAUAAUCUGUUUUAAGUUAGUAAGUGAUUUAUCAUAAAUAUCAAAAUGAGAAUAGUUUGAUUAAAAGAUAAUUGUGUCUUUAUUAUAGGUCUAAAACUGAUUGACUCUGGUAAGAUUAGAAUUUCUUUUUAAAAUCUAUCUGAAUUUUGGUAUGAGGACAUUUUAUUUGUAUGUGAUUUGAAGUCUUAAUUGUUGUAUAACUUUUACGUGAUUUAAAUAACAUGAUCUAUUUAGGUGGAAGUCUUCGGCUCAAUAUUCAUCACCCUUGGGUUUCAAUCAACCUCCCAUUGAUAUUAGCCUCGAGAAUGAAAUCAUGAGGUCUCGCUACCCUUUUGACACUUUUUAGCACUUUAAAUACCAAGAUCUAAAGAUUUUUGAUCUUUUGAUCCUAAAAUCGAACGAUUUUAAAUGUCGAAAUUUUAUUUAUCAUUAAAAUGAAUCGCUCAGAAUCAUGACAUAUUUAUUUUAUUGUAUCUCUUAUGACAUAUUUUUAAACUAACAUAAAUUAUUAAUUAUAUAAUAUUGUACCAUGGAGAUCGAAGAGCAUUUUAGAUUUUUUUUAAUAUAUAUAUACUUGAAUUUAUUUUAUACAUGUCAAUAAAUGAUACUCUUAGAAUUUAAGAUAUAAAAAUGAUAAUUUAAAGGUAAAUAAUUAAGAAAUUAUUAUUAUUUAAAUUGCGAAAACUAAAUUUAAUAAUUAUAAGUUUAUUGUAUUUUAUUAUUAUAUAAAAAUAUUUAAUUAAUUAUAUUAGUUUUCAACUUAAAUUAAAAUUAAAUUUCAUUAUAAUUAUUAAAAUAUUAAUUUUAUAGUGAUAAAUAUUUGAGUUGUCGCUAAAAUUUUUCACAAUAAAUAAUUUAUACUAAUAAUUUUUAACAAUGAAAAAAAAAUUAAAUCGGUGUAAAAAUUAUUUUUUUAAUAUUAUAAUAAAUAGAUAUAAAAAUAAAAGUAUUAAUACUCUAUACUAUUUUAUAAAAAUAAAGAAUAGAUUUUAAAGUAUUUAAAUUUUUGAUAAUUUUGAAUGUUUAUGAUUAGUUUCACAUAUUAAUUUAAUUUUUUAAUUUAAAAUUUAUUAUGUGAUCAUAUAAAUAAAAUGUUUAUAAUUUUAAUGUUUUAAUUUAAUUUUUUAAAUUUUAUGACAUUUUGUAUAUAAAUAUAUUCAUAUUUUAAAAAUAAUUUCUUAUAAUUUAUAAUACAAUAUACUGUAUAUUAAAUCUAUAGAAAAAAAAUUUAUAUAUUAUAAAUUUACGUUAAUAUUAAUAACAAAUAAAAUUUAAAAUGCGAAAUAUAUGUAGUGAGUUUGAGCAUUUCAAAAUUUAUUAUUUUGAAAUAAUUUUAUAUAUUAAUUUUUUAUUAUAUUAAUUAAAAUUGUAAUAUUAUUCAAAUAAAUGUCAAAAUAAAAAUGUUCUAAACAAUUCUUAUAAGUGUAAAGCUUGGUAAAAAUUAAUUUUAUUAUACUAAAAUAAAAUAAUUAAUAAUAAAAAAUUAUAUAAGCUAAAAUUAAUUAUAUUUUUCAUGAAUUUUAUUAAAUAUUAAAAAUAAAAUUAAUUAUUUAUAUAACCGCCUUUAAUUAGGCAUCGAAUCUAGUAUAGUAUUUUUAUAUGAAAAAUUAAUAAAAAAAUUACAAAAUGUGGUGCAUAUAAACGAGUUCUGCAUUUCCUUUCCCAAUUUCCUUUCGUUAUCCUUACCACUUUACCUGCAGGCAGAGAACCUUCCUUUUCCGAUUCUCUAUUUCCUUUCCUCAUUCCCAAUCUCCGAUCCAUCCCUAAAAACAACUGACUAGAGAUCGAUGAUGAUGAAGAUGCCUUGGAGGAGUAAGAGCAGGAGCUUCCAUCUUCAGCUACAAGGGGCAAUUGGUACCAUUCAAUCUCCAUUCCUAUUCUUAUUUACCAAUUAUUGCCAUUCUUCUACUUCCACACUUGAAGAUGCACGCUUCUUGACAAAUAACUUCAAAUCUGCUUCUUUUACCCACCUUGAUGAUGCCAUUGCUUCCUUUAAUCAUGUAAUUCAUAUGCAUCCUCUUCCUUCUAGGGCUCAAUUUAGUAGAUUCUUAUCUGCCCUUGUGAAAAUGAAACAAUAUCACACUGUCUUUUCCAUGUCCAAAACAAUUGAAUUGCUAGGAAUCUCACACGAUGUUUAUUCUCUUAGCAUCUUAAUUAAUUGCUUCUGCCACUUACACCUUGUGGAUUUUGGCUUCUCUGUUUUUGGUAAGAUGCUCAAAUUCGGAUUGGAGCCUGACGUUGUGACAUUUAAUACCUUAAUUAAUGGGCUUUGUAUAGAGAGUAAAAUCGAUAAAGCAGUGGAAUUUUUCGAUGAUAUGGUUGCACGUGGUUAUCAACCUGAUGUUUGUACUUUCAAUGUGAUAGUAAACGGAAUGUGUAAAUUUGGGAAAACAAAUGUGGCUAUUGGGCUACUAAAGGGAAUGGCUGAUAGAGGUUGUGAGCCAAAUGUUGUGACAUACAGUGCAAUCAUUGACGCCCUUUGCAAAGAUGAGCUAGUUGGUGAGGCUUUAGAGCUCUUCUCUCAAAUGAGGAAUAAGGGCAUUUCACCUAAUGUCAUCACUUACACUGGUUUAAUUCACGGUGUUUGCAAAUUAGGCCAAAAGAACCAAGCUUUGGCCUUGAUGAAUGAAAUGGUGGAGCAAAACAUAUUACCAGAUGUUUAUACCUUCAGUGUAUUGAUUGACGCACUUUGUAAGGAUGGAAUGGUUGCAGAGGCUCAAAAUACAUUCAAUGUAAUGAUUCAAAGAGGUGUAGAGCCUAAUGUGGUCACCUACAAUUCCUUAAUUGAUGGUCUUUGCAUUUCAGACCAAUUCAAGGAAGCUUUGGCCUUGUUGAAAGAAAUGGUGGGGAGGAACAUAUCCCCUGAUGUUUUUACCUUCAAUAUAUUGAUUGACACUCUUUGUAAGAAAGGACUAGUUUCAAAUGCACAGAAUAUAAUCAAGAUAAUGAUUCAAAGAGGUGUGGAACCUGAUGUUGUCACUUAUAAUUCAUUGAUGGAUGGAUAUUGUCUGUGCAAGCAAAUUGAUAAGGCUAGAAAGGUAUUUGAUCUGAUGGUGACCAAUGAAAUAGCUGACAUUUUUAGCUACAGCAUUUUGAUCAAUGGAUAUUGUAAGUGCAAAAUGAUAGAUGAUGCAAAGGAUAUUUUUGUUGAAAUGUCUCAUAAAGGUUUAGUUCCUAAUGCUGUUACUUAUUCUACUCUUAUAAAGGGUAUGUUUCAAGCAGGGAGGCCCCAAACUGCACAGGAGCUCUUUAAGAAUAUGUGCUCUCAUGGUCAACAGCCAAAUAUAGUAACCUUCUCAAUUAUGAUUGAUGGCUUGUGUAGACAGGGGAAUCUCGAUGAGGCACUCACACUAUUGAAAGCAAUGGAGAAAAGUCAGUUGAAGCCUAAUUUUGUGAUCUAUAGUAGUUUGAUCAAUGGUAUGUGCAAAGUUGGGAAGAUUAAUGAUGCCAAGGAACUUUUUUCUAGUCUUUUUGAAAUUGGUUUACAACCUGAUGUUUGUGUAUAUAGUGCAAUUAUGAAAGGACUCUGCCAACAAGGAUUAAUGGAUGAAGCGUAUAAGGUAUUUAAAGACAUGGAAAAGGUAGGAUGUUUACCAAAUAAUUGUUGUUAUAAUAUCAUCAUUCAAGGGUUUCUCAAGCAUGAGGAUUUACCAAAAGCAUCAGAACUAAUUAAUGAAAUGGUUGAUAAGGGGUUCUCUGCUGAUGCUGCUACCACAGAAUUGGUAGUACAUUUAUCGCGGAAUAAUGAUCUCAUUCUAAGCAAACUACGUAAUCGUUAUGAGGCUACUAAAUGCAUAAAUGUUAAGUGAUUUUAACAAUCAACACUUGAUCAGCAGAUGCAAGAGGUCUUCGUUGUAAUGUGAGUUAUUGGUACUUCAAUCUAUUUCCUAUAGUGUUGUUAGUUGCUUUUGCUUUUUACAAGAAACUGUUUAGGAUUAGCACUAAACUCAAGUUUUCAGGUUGUAUAAGCAGAUUAGCUUUGCUGAAUCUGUUCCAAUACUGCAUUGGUCUGCAAUAAGUUGAAAAAAAACAAAAAAAGAACCUUAAGACUCCAGUUUUAUGUAUACAAUGAGAGAAAUUGUGCCUGCUCUCUUCUUACGUGUUCCUUUUUUCUCCUCUCAUUUUGAAAUUCAUCAUUCUGGUAUAACAAUCUGCACUUGUACACAGUUUUUCUAAGUGUCAGAUGAUUUAUUGUCAUGUAUGGAAAAUAUCAAAAGGUGAAGAGCAGCAAUUACUUUUCUUAUUUUUGAGUCUUACUCAACCUGAAAGCUUUUGUUUUGCCUUAUUAUUAUACUAUAUGAAGUGACUUGAGCAGAGUUUUAUUGUAAUUCAAAAUGUGUGUUUCAUCAUUUUUGUUGUCUUCAUGAUUUGCUUGCAAUGAGCAUGAAACAACAUACGUGUCUUUACUUUAAAGAACUUGGGGUAAGGGAGAAGAAAAAUCAAGAAUCUAACUAAUGUUUAUGUGUGUCCAAGUUAUCAUUACCCUUGAAAUUUAUAUCUAGGAGAAUGAAAAUAUAAACUCUUAAUUGAGAGAGGGUCAAUUUGGUAGUUUUUCUUCUCCAAAUUCUUGGUCCUUCAAGAUAUUUCACAUUCAUCUUCCAUGAGAAUUAUAGGAUCACAACAACAGCCUCUUAAUCUUCUAUUCCUAACAAAUUAGCCACUAACCUCCAAACCAACUCUGCCAUCUUAAGAAACUAUAACUUUACGACUGACUUCAAAUCCUAUUAUUCUCAAAACUAUGGACUUAAACUCAACUCUAAUUACCAUAUUUAGCAAUUACCAAUAAUAAAUCAAAAUGGAAAAAAAAUAGAUAAGGGAAGGCUUUUCUUUAUUUUGCAAGUUUUAAAACCAAUCUGUAAAUUAAUCCAGGUAAAAAAACCUUGCUUAAUUUUGGAAACCUUAGUCAUUACCCAUCUGCUACACAAUUUCCUUCCAAUCUCUCCCUCUCAAAUCUUUCUUUAACCCAUAAUUCUUGAUAAUAUUUUCAUAUAAAGCUUCCUUAAACCCUAGAAAAAUCCAUCAA